UUAAAUGCUCAGGAGCAAUAUCAUAUGUGUGUGUGAAACUACAAUGAUCGUCAAUAUAAUUUCCUCUGCGUUAAACCAUUGUAUGCCUUCAGUAUAAGCUGUUGUUGAUGUAAUCCAUUCAUGUGUGUUAGCUGUAAAGGAACAUGAAAAGUAUCAUUCAUGUCGGUGCGUAGUUAAAGCUGAUGCAAGAAGACUAUUCACUACUUGAUGAUUAAUGAAUAUUGUCUAUACCAUAAUAAAAUCUUAUAAUUUCA